rnacentral:tRNA from 1 species
CUCUACCAAAGGAUAAUAGCAUUCCGCUGGUCUUAGGCACCUCAAUCCUUGGUGCAAAUCCAAGUAAAAGU